rnacentral:rRNA from 1 species
GACAGAGGGUGCAAACGUUGUUCGGAAUUACUGGGCGUAAAGCGCGUGUAGGCUGCCCCGAAAGUCAGGUGUGAAAGCCCUGGGCUCAACCCAGGAAGUGCACUUGAAACUUCGGUGGCUUGAGUUCUGGAGGGGAUAGCGGAAUUCCUGGUGUAGCGGUGAAAUGCGUAGAUAUCAGGAGGAACACCGGUGGCGAAGGCGGCUAUCUGGACAGAGUCUGACGCUGAGGCGCGAAAGCUAGGGGAGCAAACAGG